UAUUACGGAUGAAAGCAAGAAAUUUAUUACCAACACCUGAGAGAUGGAGGAAGUUUCUUUUAUCUUAUCUGAAUUAAGACUGGAAAUAAGGGUGAACUGUCUCCAAUUAAUUUUUAGCUGAAGUCAAUAAUUGGCAGUGACACCACUUGUUUGUUAAAGAGUAUAAAAAGUAAACUCCUAAAGAGUUUGUCGCUAAUACCUGCCUGACCAUGUUGAAGCUGACUAAUAGGGGCCUAAGCACCCUUAGGUUUAGCCUGUUUGCAGCUUGAAAAUCAUGGGAUCUACAAAGCCUGAUGUAGGUACCUAUGCUCCCUAUACAAUGCUUGGAGAGAGACAGGUGCCAAGGAAAGGGAUCUACAAAAGCCAGCACAGUUUUCAACUCACCUUAAGAGAACAAGCUACACAAAUACAAGGCCAAGGUGCCAUUGAGUUAGUACCACAGUAUAAUCAGCUGUUGUCCACUACCAUUGACACCUUGACCCCAAACCAUCCACUCACCACACACUGACCAAGAAUAUAAUUGUGGCUCAUAUAGAUGAGCUGUGACAGAUGGCGUGCACAAGCAAAACAUUAGAACGCCAGUGGUCCAAAAACCAUUCUCUCUGACAGACUGGUAUUUAUCUAGUGCGAUGUAUAACUACAGCAGUCCAUCAGUGAAGAAAAAUUGUAAGGAUACUGACUGGGAUUUUUACUAGCUUUCUACUAGUUUUAUUAAAAAUAUAAAUCUUAUGGGCAUGAUGCUAUGAAUGAUGAGAUUUCACCAUCCACCACACUCAGCUGAGUAAAAAUGCCACCAACUGGCAAAAAGAUCAAUAGAAAAAUUGUGCUUACAAGGAAAACAAAGUCAUCAAGGGCUGGUCUACAAUUCCCAGUGGGUCGUGUUCACCAGCUUCUCCGAAGAGGGAACUAUGCUGAGAGAAUAGGUGCUGGAGCUCCAGUUUACCUGGUGGCCGUGCUGGAAUAUCUGACUGCUGAGAUACUGGAACUGUCAGGAAACGCUGCCCGUGAAAACAAGAGAGUCAGGAUUUUACCAUGACACAUCCAGCUGGCUGUGAGGAACGAGGAAGCACUGAACCGGCUCUUUGCAGAUGUGACCAUUGCAGGGGGAGGAGUUUUGCCAAACAUUCUUGCCCAGCUUCUUCCCCAGAGAACUCCUAAAGAUCCUUCAACAGAAAAGAUAGCUGUUGCUUCCCAAGAAGAAUCUGGUAAUGACGGACCCAGAGAAAAUGUACACUUCCUCCUCGUUUCCAGUUCUUCACCAACAUGGAACCCUUGUUAAUCAAUGUGUUGUGUCUGCAAAUUGCUGCUAAAUAUUCAGACUGAUUAUCUUAAUGUGUGGGGUUUUUAACUGUUGAAACAAACUUAAUU